CCUACGGGUGGCAGCAGUGGGGAAUAUUGCACAAUGGGGGAAACCCUGAUGCAGCGACGCCGCGUGAAGGAAGACGUAUUUCGGUAUGUAAACUUCUAUCAGUAGGGAAGUAAAUGACGGUACCUGACUAUGAAGCCCCGUCUAAAAACGUGCCAGCAGCCGCGGUAAUACGGAGGGGGCAAGCGUUAUCCGGAUUUACUGGGCGUAAAGGGAGCGUAGGCGGGGUGGCAAGUCAGAAGUGAAAGCCCGGGGCUCAACUCCGGGACUGCAUUUGAAACUGUGUGGCUAGAUUUCAGGAGAGGUAAGUGGAAUUCGUGGUGUAGCGGUGAAAUGCGUAGAUAUUAGGAAGAACACCGAUGGCGAAGGCAGCUUACUGAACUGUCAAUGACGCUGAGGCUCGAAAGCGUGGGGAGCAAACAGGAUUAGAUACCCGAGUAGUC
rnacentral:rRNA from 1 species